ACAACGAAGAGUUUGAUCCUGGCUCAGGAUGAACGCUAGCGACAGGCUUAACACAUGCAAGUCGAGGGGCAUCAGGGAUGGUAGCAAUACCAUCUGCUGGCGACCGGCGCACGGGUGAGUAACACGUAUGCAACCUGCCCGUCACAGGGGGAUAAGCGGAAGAAAUUCCGUCUAA
rnacentral:rRNA from 1 species